CCAGACUCCUACGGGAGGCAGCAGUGGGGAAUAUUGGGCAAUGGGCGCAAGCCUGACCCAGCAACGCCGCGUGAAGGAAGAAGGCUUUCGGGUUGUAAACUUCUUUUCUGAGGGACGAAGAAAGUGACGGUACCUCAGGAAUAAGCCACGGCUAACUACGUGCCAGCAGCCGCGGUAAUACGUAGGGGGCAAGCGUUAUCCGGAUUUACUGGGUGUAAAGGGGGCGCAGACGGCAGCGCAAGCCAGGAGUGAAAGCCCGGGGCCCAACCCCGGGACCGCACCGGAUACUGCCGGACUCGAGUGCCGGAGGGGCAGGCGGAAUUCCUGGUGUAGCGGUGAAAUGCGCAGAUAUCAGGAGGAACACCGGUGGCGAAGGCGGCCUGCUGGACGGUAACUGACGCUGAGGCUCGAAAGCGCGGGGAGCGAACAGGAGUAGAUACCCCCGUAU
rnacentral:rRNA from 1 species